rnacentral:lncRNA from 1 species
GAGGAGUAGGUCAGACGAAACUCGAAUCUGGACACCUUAAACGUGGAUAUUUGGAAGAGGGAUGUGCCUCGGUAGAGUUUCAGAUGUUAUCGGAAAGCGGACAGGUACGGAGCACGUCUAUCUUGACGCCAGCGAUGAGCUACCAGCAACACACCUGCUCCACCGCCAGCCAGGGAUUCGGGUUCAACAUUAAAGUUAUGAAGAAAGCAGCAGCUAGUUCAGCUGAGUCAUCAUAAAAGUCCAGGAGAAGCAGUAUGAAAAGAAAACUAAAUGACAAAACAAAGGAAAUAAUCUCCCAGCAGAGAGAUCCUGGUGAAAAGCAGUUUGAUCCACUGGCCAAUGAUGUAACUUGGGGGAAUUUUUGCCACAAGUAUUUGCUAACUACUGAAUUUAAUUAAAGUAGCUUUGUUGACCAAAACCACAAUCCACUAUUAAAGGUUUGUGUGAAAAGCACUGGGAAUGAGAUCUGCAUUUUGUAAUAACCAUGAAACUAUAAGUACCUUCAUGGGAAAAGGGUAGCUGCUGCCGUUUUUGCCACAGUGAGGUCCCUCUACUCGCUCUGUCAAGGCAAUUUACUUCAAUUAGAAUUGGAAUUUCAUUUGGGUUUCCUUAGACACAAUUAUCUAUUCAGAAAUAUUUAUUAUAUAUAUGCCAAAUUCUGGGUUGGGGAAGUCAAGACAUGUACACAAGUAAUUAUAAUGCAUGAUUAAUGCAAUUGUGAUCAGAAGACUAUGAGCUAUAUUUAAUACCAAAGAAGAACAAAGCACUUUGUGGACGGGAUCCUUCACUGGCUAUCGAUGCCAGGAGAGGCCUAACUGCAUAAUAGUUAAGCAAACAGACUUGGGAACCGGGCAGACCUGGAUUCAACGUAUCUUUGCCAUUAAUCAGUUGUGUUGUCUGGGACAGGUUUAUUGCCUUCUCAAAGAUAUAAUUUCCUCAUUCAUAAAAGGUAGACAAAACACUACUUACUUCACAGGAUGCUUAUGAAGAUUAAC